rnacentral:rRNA from 1 species
GAUGAACGCUGGCGGCGUGCCUAAUACAUGCAAGUCGAGCGAGAAUUUUUCAAAUGACACUUCGGUUGAUUUUGGAAAAGGACAGCGGCGGACGGGUGAGUAACGCGUAGGCAACCUGCCCCUGACAGAGGGAUAGCCAUUGGAAACGAUGAUUAAAACCUCAUAACGCCGAAGGAACACAUGUUUCAUCGGCCAAAGAUUUAUCGGUCAGGGAUGGGCCUGCGUCUGAUUAACUAGUUGGUGAGGUAACGGCUCACCAAGGUGACGAUCAGUAGCCGACCUGAGAGGGUGAUCGGCCACAUUGGAACUGAGACACGGUCCGAACUUCUACGGAAGGCAGCAGUAGGGAAUCUUGCACAAUGGGCGAAAGCCUGAUGCAGCAACGCCGCGUGAAGGAUGAAGGCCUUCGGGUUGUAAACUUCUGUUCUUGGGGAAGAAGAAAGUGACGGUACCUAAGGAGAAAGCCCCGGCUAACUACGUGCCAGCAGCCGCAGUAA